CCGACUUGUAGGCGGGCCGGCGGGCGGACACGCACAAACUUGCAUUUCCUCAACCCUUAUCUGCCGCGCACCAGCCUGCGGGGAACACCCCCUCACCCCCUUCCUCUCAGGUUUCGUCUGGAUCCAGGAUCCGGACCCACGGGACUCGCACCAGAGCGGAUGACCUCGGAACCCCCGCCCGCCGCGCCCCCUCCGGACCCGUGUGCCUUUCGACCGAUCGGCGAGGAGCAGGAAGAGGAGAACCGGAUGGAGCGGCUUUUGAAAAACGUUUUCUGGAAAAGCCAUACCACGUCGCAUUGGAGGACCCCUGUGAUUUGCAGACUCUUUGGAUGCCGCGUGGCCUCCUCCUUUGCGCUUCCUGUUCCCGCACGACAUCCCGAAAGGCGCUGCGAAAACGAGAAAGAAAAAACAUAUCAAAUCAGCUCUUUUCACAAGAAAAGCACCGGCCGGCCGCAUUUGAAUCUCCAAACGGGUGGGGGUGGGGGGUGGGGGGGUGAGAAAAAGAAAACGGGUGCGUUUGAGUCAUCUUGCUCUUCCCGUCGCCAUUCCUAUUUGUCUUUGGUCUUGUGGUGCGCAUGCUCUCCCUGGUCAGUGCGAGACGCCCACGCAUGUUUGGGCGCAGCGCUCCCACCCGGCCCGACGCGGUCCCUUUAAUUGGUGGCUCCUUUCUCCGAACCCACUUAUCGACGCUGCCAAAUGGGUGCGAAAAAGCCAAACGUUUUUUGUGUCUGCGCGCGUGCGUAUGUUCAAAUAUUUGUUGAUUCUCGAUUGAAUAAAAUCACUGCCUCAUC